ACACAUGCAGUCGAGGGGUAACAGAUCUUCGGAUGCUGACGACCGGCGAACGGGUGAGUAACACGUAUGCAACUUACCCAUAACUCGGGAAUAGCCCAAAGAAAUUUGGAUUAGUACCCAAUAAUACAGGCGUACCGCAUGGUAUUCUUCGUUAAAGAAUAAUCGGUUAUGGAUAGGCAUGCGUUCUAUUAGGUAGUUGGUGAGGUAACGGCUCACCAAGCCGACGAUGGAUAGGGGAACUGAGAGGUUGUCCCCCCACACUGGUACUGAGACACGGACCAGACUCUUACGGGAGGCAGCAGCGAGGAAUAUUGGUCAAUGGACGAAAGUCUGAACCAGCCAAAUCGCGUGAAGGAAGAAGGUAUUAUGUAUCGUAAACUUCUUUUGUAAGAGAGUAAAGUGCACUACGUGUAGUGUAUUGCAAGUACCUUACGAAUAAGCAUCGGCUAAUCCCGUGCCAGCAGCCGCGGUAAUACGGAAGAUGCAAGUGUUAUCCGGAUUUAUUGGGUUUAAAGGGUGCGUAGGUGGUCUAAUAAGUCAGUGGUGAAAUCUCUUUGCUUAACAAGGAAAUUGCCAUUGAAACUGUUAGACUUGAGAAUGGACGAGGUAGGCGGAAUUCGUAGUGUAGCGGUGAAAUGCAUAGAUAUUACGAAGAACUCCAAUAGUGUAGACUGCUUACCAGACCAUAUCUGACACUAAGGCACGAAAGUGUGGGUAUCAAACAGGAUUAGAUACCCUGGUAGUCCACACAGUAAACGAUGAAUACUAACUGUUUGCGAUAUACAGCAAGUGGUCGAGCGAAAGCGUUAAGUAUUCCACCUGGGAAGUAUGCCGGCACGGUGAAACUCAAGGAUGACGGGGCCCGCACAGCGAGACAUGUGUUAUCGAUAUACGCGAGACUACCGGGCUC
rnacentral:rRNA from 1 species